rnacentral:lncRNA from 1 species
CAGGCCUCCUCACUGUUCCUCAAACAUGCCAAUUGCAUGCCCAGUUCAGGGCUUGGCUUUUCUUUCUUUUUUUUUUUUUUGUUUAGACCGAGUCUCGCUCUGUCGCCCAGGCUGGAGUGCAAUGGCGUGAUCUCAGCUCACUGCAACCUCAGCCUCAGGAGUAGCUGGGAUUACAAGCAUGCACCACUACGCCCAGCUAAUUUUUGUGUUUUUAGUAGAGAUGAGGUUUGCAUGCACCACCAUACCUGGCUAAUUUUUGUAUUUUUAGUAGAGACGGGGUUUCACCAUGUUGGUCAGGAGUCUUCUGUAGUCACAGCUAC